AAAUAUGAAGUUUUAUUAAAAGAAAAGGGGUGAAAAGAACAAAGUUUUGUCCAUCUUUGUUCAUCAUAGCUGAAAGUUAGAGAAGAGAAAGGAGAGGAGAAAGCUCUUGAGUAUUCGGUCAUUAGGAGGAGGAAAAUUGAAGGAAAUCCCCAACCAUAGUGGGCUUGGAGCUGUGAGGGAAUUCGGAGUGGCCACCCGUUCUGAAAGUUUGAUUUUCUUCUGGUGAACUGGACAUCCUUUUAAUUACGUUUGAGGUUUUGGGCUUUUAAAUGUAAUAAGGCCGCUUAUUUAUUUUUGAUGGUUUUUAAUAUGUAUUACUAAGAUAGGUAUUACUUAUUUUAACUGUUGAAACUGGAUAGCUUUAGGGCGCGUUUUCAAAAACAACAGUUGAUUUCAAAAUAACACGACAACAAGCAAAGCUUCCGCAAUGAAAGUAUUUUCCAAAAUUAAUCACUUUUCCUAAAAAUGACUUAAUCAAAUCGGUUUCCUAGAAAUAUCCAUGACAUUAAGGUGUGGCAAUGGCGGUAUGCAUGUCUAGGAUUGGACCCGAAGGGAGCUUGGUACUUAAGCAGUCCGAUGGACUCACCACCUCUUUUCCGGUUUCCUACCUGGUGCAUAGCUUCCAUUCACUUUAAUCCUUAAUGAAUUAAUCUUUUGAACAUCAAGUACGAUUUUCUGGACUUAGAAUGGAAAAAAAAAUUUUAACGUUUUUGAUGUGGCAUGCCGGAUCCGGCCAUAACUUCUGGGCCGGGUUUGGGGUGCUACAUUUAGUGGUAUCAGAGCCUAGGUUACAACAACUCGGCUGUGGAAUGUGUUUACAAAAAUAAAUAUUUUUGAAAGCGAAAAUUUUAUAAAGAAUGCGAAAAAGUUGAUUUUCAAAAUUUAGAUCUCUAGAAGGUGGCAUUCCGAAUCUCCGGCUCAAGCCUGUAAGUAUUACUCUGAACUCUUCUGAAUAUUUUUCUGUCUUAUCUGUCUGUACUGAAACCCUAUUAUGAUACUCUAGAUAGGAUGAUACUGAAACCAUAAGAAAAUUUGAUAAGAGACUGAAACUGUAGCUAGACUUCGAUUCUGCGAAAACAAACUCUGAACUACUGUCUGAUUCAUAAAACAUCUGUAAUAAACACUGGAAUAUUAAUUGAUGCAUAAAAAUUCAUAAUCAAGAUAAUACGAUAUGAGUACAAGAGGCCGUGGACGGAGCCGAGGAAGUGCUCGAGCGAGAUCUUCGUCUUCGAGACAUAUGCCGGCGGUGGAUGCACCGGUACCACCGCAGAGGUAGAGUCUCAUGACCAUGCAGUACGAGGAUGAUUCCCGUCACGAGCAAUGCUUCGUGUUGGAAAGGGUUGCGAGCAAGUUCGGGCAACAAAAUUCGUGGAUCUAUUUCGAAUGACUUGGGACUAACGGACGGAGAUCUUUAAGGGCGCGUCUGGUAUAGCCCCGAAUGUGGCAGAAUAUUGGUUGGAGGCCACAGAACGGAUUAUGGACAACUUGGACUGCUCUGAGGAGAUUGUGAGUGGGGUAUCUGUACUAAGUCAUUUGAGUCACUCGAUUAGGGUAGACAAACUGUAUAGGAAUGUACCCUUAGAAACUCAAGGCAAGGUUUUUCUGGAGAUCGAUGGAGUUCUUGUUGGAGAGUUUGACCUCAUUCAGGAAUGGAUUGGCUUGUUAAGCAUAAGGCAACUCUGGAUUGUGCUUCUAAACGAAUGGUGUUAAGAACUACAAAGCAUGAGGAGGUUAUGGUGAUAGGUGAGAGAAGGGAUUAUUUGUCCAAUAUGGUGUCGGCAUUAAGAGCCGAAAAAUGGAUUCGGAAAGGUUGUGAGGCCUAAUUGGUAUUUGUAAGUCAGUCGGAAGAGGAAGGACUGACAGUGGAUAAGGUUAGGACCGUAAAGGAGUUCCAAGAUGUUUUUUCGGAUGAGUUUCCAAGAUUGCCUCCGAAUCGAGAAGUUGAGUUUGGAAUAGACUUGUUGCCUGGAAUGGCGCCUGUGUCCAUCGCACCGUAUAGGAUAGCACCGAAGGAGUUAGUGGAGUUAAAGGCUCAAAUCCAAAAGUUGUUGGAUAGGGGCUUUAUUAGGCCAAGCGUGUCUUCAUGGGGAGCACCGGUGCUAUUCGUGAAGAAGAAGGAUGGUACAAUGCGGAUGUGCAUUGAUUAUCGCCAGUUGAACAAACUGACAAUUAAGAAUAAGUAUCCACUACCAAGGAUUGACGAUCUGUUUGACCAGCUUAGAGGGGCUUUUGUAUUUUCCAAGAUCGACCUUUGAUCUGGAUAUCAUUAGUUAAGGGUCAAGGAGGUAGAUAUCCAUAAGACAACAUUCAGGACUCGGUAUGGUCAUUACGAGUUUUUGGUUUUGCCAUUUAGACUAACGAACACUCCUGCAGCGUUUAUAGAUCUGAUGAAUCAUGUGUUCCAACCACCUCAAAAGCGCUAUGACCAUAUUCGAACAUGUACAAUGCAGGGUGGAGGGGCCACCCAAAUCUAAGUUAUGGAUCGAACCCUCGACACAAUCAACCAUAUCAACCAAGGCCACCUCCGCUUCAACAGUAUCAACCUUCAAAGUCAUCUCUUGAAGCCAUAAUAGAGAGGUUAGCCGUUAGCACCAAAAAGUUCCAACAAAAUACUGAAACACUUCCAAGAACUAGAUCAGUAAAUAAGUAAGCUAGCACUUACAGUUAGUAGUUUGGAGAACCAAGGAAAAUUUUCAUCUCAUGCAGAGCCAAAUCCACGUUAAAAUGCAAGUGCUGUGACCGUAAAAAAUGGAACAGAGUCAAAACUAGUGCUUGGCACUAGUCGUGACCACAACGUUGAACAGGAAGUCGAACCAACAGCUCCCACUGAGCCGGAACCUCAUAAACCAUUUGUUGUUCCUCCCCCAUACCUUGGAAGGCUCACCCAAGUUAAAAAGGAAUGAGAGGAAAAAGAAAUCCUUGAGACAUUCUGAAAGGUAGAAACUAAAAUUGCUUUACUUGAUACAAUUAAACAGGUUCCACGCUGUGCAAAAUUUUGAAAGAACUGUGUACUAACAAAAAGAAGCUCUAAAAAAACGAAUAGGUGAAUGUAGGAGAAAAUGUUUCUACAGUGCUACAAAGGAAAAUCCCGCCUAAGUGUAAGAACCAAGGUAUGUUUUCUAUAUCCUAGAAAAUAAGUAAUAUUAGCAUAAAGAAAGCUAUGUGUAAUUUGAGAGCAUCUAUUUAUGUAAUGCCUUUAACUAUUCUUAAAUUGCUAAACACGGGUCUUUUGAAAGAAACAUGGGUGAUUAUUCAAUUGGUAGAUAGGUCAUGCGUAUAUCCAGAAGGGGUGCUGGAAGAUGUCCUUGUAAAGGUAAAUAAACUAAUUUUUCCUGUAAACUUUUACAUCAUCAAUAUGGAAGACAACUACUCAAAAAAUGCUUCUAAUAUUUUACUCAGAAGACCAUUCCUAAGUAUGACACGUACAAAGAUUGAUGUUCAAAGUGGAACCCUCACUAUGGAAUUCGACGGUGAGGUGAUAAAAUUUAAUGUUUAUGAGACGAUGGGCCAACCUAGUACAAUGUUGAAUAUUUUUAGUGUUGAUAUUAUUGAACCACUAAUGAAAUUUCAUUUUAAGUAUGAUGAAGAGGAUGAGUUACAAACUGUGCUUUGUAAGAAUUUAGACCUCAAUACAAUAGAUAAACUAGAGGAAUUAAUGACAUUUAAAGAGCCAAUUUGUAAAACUUUCAUUUUCACGGAGGCACCACAGUUUCCCAAAAGUCAAGGUAAAGAAUUUGAAUUGUCUCCUUUUCAAACUAAACUUUUGCCUUCCAUUUCACAGGCCCUUGGAAUUGGAACUCGAACUGUUAUCGGAACAUUUAAAUAUUCAGAUAGAGGAAAAGGAAAACCUAAGCAGAGAAGCUCGAAUACGUUUCAAUUCACCAAUGAUGAAGGAAUCAGGAAAAUGCUUCAAGGUCAAAGAGAAAAGGUUGAAAUCUUUCAAUGAGAACUUUCAAGUGCGCGCAAUGGAAGAAUUAAUUCUCAAGGAACUAAACAAAUAAUACUCAGGUACACGAAUCGCUUGAAGCAAUAAAGUCUUUCGAUGAAGACACGAUCUGGCUACAAAAGAACAAGAGGAGCAACCACCUUCUACUUUAGAUGAACAACUUCAUCGCAUUAAAGCUCACCUCGAAACAAUGGAAGCCAACAUCUCAAGCAUCCUCAACAUGCUACAAAGUGAUCCCUCCCACCGUCCUCCGACCCGUUGAAUAUACACGGGGAGAACACUUGACCCUUCUAUUCAUUAUUGCUUUAAACUUACAUAUUGAGGGCAAUGUGGGCUUAGUAGGGGGAAUUUUGGAUCAUGCCAUACUUUCUUUUUGCAUGUGUUUUGCUAAGAAUAAUUUUUUUAAUUCAUUCCAGAAAUAAACCUCUAAUUCUUAUGUUUAGUUUACUUAAAUAA